CACAAGAACAUACGAGAACAAUAAUUAGCAAAAACAAAGGGAAAACCUCCCGCUCAUUUGCUCUUUCUUUCUUUCCAAAACUAAGACAACACAAAUCAAAAACCCUUGAUUUCUUUUUCUCAGUUCUACCCCAAAAUCUUUCUACCUCUCUCUUGCAUUUCCUUUUUCUCCAAAAAUAAAAAAUGAGAGAAGAGCAAAUAGAGAAGCUGCGAGGGGUAGUGCGCGACUGCGUGAGCAAGCACUUGUACUCCUCCGCCAUUUUCUUCGCCGACAAAGUCGCCGCUUUCACCAACGACCCCGCCGACAUCUACAUGCAAGCCCAGGCUCUCUUCCUCGGCCGCCACUACCGUCGUGCCUACCACCUCCUCAACGCCUCCAAAAUCGUCCUUCGCGACCUCCGCUUCCGCUACCUCGCCGCAAAAUGCCUCGAGGAAUUGAAAGAGUGGGACCAGUGUUUGUUAAUGCUCGGUGAUGCAAAGGUUGAUGAGCAUGGAGAUGUAUAUGAUACUAAAGAUUGUAACGUUAUGUACUUAGAUAAGGAUAGUGAAGAUCGCGAGAUCAAUAUUUCUGCAGCAACAUGUUUUCUAAGAGGCAGGGCUUAUGAAGCAUUGGAAAAUCGUGCCCUGGCUCGACAGUGGUACAAGGCUGCUAUCAAGGCCGAUCCUUUAUGCUAUGAGGCUUUGGAAUGCCUUAUUGAAAAUCACAUGCUCACAUGUGAAGAAGAAACAAGGCUGCUUUCCUCCUUGCAAUUCGGUCCAGAAGAUGGGUGGCUCUCUUCAUUCUACUCAUGCUUGAUAAAAAAGUAUGAAAAAAAGAGUGUUGUAGAAGCCAAAUUCAGAGAAGUUGAAAAAGAAAGCUGCAAUAGCAAUCCUUCUAGCCCAUCUAUCAAGCAUACACUAAAAAAUGAUACUGAUCUUUUGACCUGCAAAGCAGAGUACUUCAAUCAGUGUGGUGAAUAUCAGAAAUGCUUUGAACUAACUUCAGACCUGCUUGAGAAAGACCCUUUUCAUUUGAAAUGUACCUUAGUACACAUAGCUGCUGCUAUGGAGCUUGGAAAUUCAAAUGAGCUUUAUCUUAUGGCAUCGAACUUAGUGAAGGAUUAUCCUCAAAAGGCUCUCUCAUGGUUUGCUGUCGGCUGCUACUACUACUGUAUCAAGAAGUAUGAUCAAUCACGGCGUUAUUUCAGCAAGGCUACAAGUCUAGAGGGAACCUUUGCACCUGCUUGGAUUGGCUUUGGGAAUGCUUAUGCUGCUCAAGAAGAGGGUGAUCAAGCAAUGUCGGCAUACCGCACUGCUGCUCGUUUAUUUCCAGGGUGCCAUUUACCAACUUUGUAUAUUGGGAUGGAGUACAUGCGAACUCACAGCUAUAAGCUUGCUGAGCAGUUUUUCAUGCAGGCAAAGGCAAUUUGCCCUUCAGAUCCACUUGUAUACAACGAACUUGGUGUUGUUGCUUAUAACAUGAAGGAGUACAAUAAGUCUGUGUUGUGGUUUGAGAAGACUUUGAAGCACAUUCCGUCUUUAAGUCAAUUGUGGGAACCAACUAUUGUUAAUCUUGCCCAUGCCUACAGAAAGUUGAAGAUUUACCAUGAAGCAAUUUCAUAUUAUGAGAGAGCACUUACAUUAUCACCUAGAAGCUUGAGUACCUAUGCUGGUCUUGCAUACACUUAUCAUUUGCAGGUAAAUUGAGCUCUUUUCAUUUCAAUGUAAGUCUGUUAAACUGACAUUUUAUUUGGCUGUUGUAGUUGAAAGCAAUAGUUUGAGAAAAGUAAUUGUAAGUGCUUGAAGUGGAUUAGUGCGGAUAAUGAGAGUGGUCAUGAAAAUCCAAAAUGUUAUGAAAAGUAAUCGGAUAAUGAGAGUGGCAAUGUUACAAUUUGAUACUAUCAUGAUUUACUGCUGCAAUCACAUGCUACCACAAGGCUUUAUGGCUGAAACCAGAUGAUCAAUUUUGCACUGAAAUGCUGAGCUUGGCACUUGUAGAUGAAGGUCGUCGAGGCACGGACCCCAAAAUUGAAUUCCGCUGAAAUGAGUCAUUUUUAAUGACACUAUUUAUACUCUUCUGUUCUUGUUGUAAUGUAUGUGGAAUCUGAAGUCCUUGAAUGGAUUGAUUCAUUUUGAUCCAUUUUAGAGUUGGGCAAUAUUACAUUAGGGAGAGUUUGGCAAUAUAUGUAAUUCUGUA